GGCUCAGAUUGAACGCUGGCGGCAGGCCUAACACAUGCAAGUCGAGCGGAAACGAGUUAUCUGAACCUUCGGGGAACGAUAACGGCGUCGAGCGGCGGACGGGUGAGUAAUGCCUAGGAAAUUGCCCUGAUGUGGGGGAUAACCAUUGGAAACGAUGGCUAAUACCGCAUGAUGCCUACGGGCCAAAGAGGGGGACCUUCGGGCCUCUCGCGUCAGGAUAUGCCUAGGUGGGAUUAGCUAGUUGGUGAGGUAAGGGCUCACCAAGGCGACGAUCCCUAGCUGGUCUGAGAGGAUGAUCAGCCACACUGGAACUGAGACACGGUCCAGACUCCUACGGGAGGCAGCAGUGGGGAAUAUUGCACAAUGGGCGCAAGCCUGAUGCAGCCAUGCCGCGUGUGUGAAGAAGGCCUUCGGGUUGUAAAGC
rnacentral:rRNA from 1 species